UGUGCCACAAUAGUAAUUUAACUUAGUAUGAGAGGAACUGUUGAUUUGCACAAUUGGUAAUUGUGCUUGGUUGAAAAGCCGGCGUGAAGCUAUUAUACAUGGGAUUAUGACUCAAUGCCUCUAAGUCAGAAUCCAUGCUAGAUGCAAUGCUCUCUACCUCCUCAGCUGUUACCUAAUUAAGGUUAGGGGGGUCCUGUGCUCCCCUGAGAACACAUGACACAAGCACCGUCCCCCGGGCUCCCCCGAGAACAUAUGACAUGAGCACUGUCCCCCGGGGCCAAUGCUGCCCCAGAGGUGCAGCUUGGAAAUCCAAUUUCAAACGAUCAAGGAGAUAAAUCUUUUGCAAACAACUUAAAUAGGGGACGGGAUAUUGUGAGUGGUAGAGUAGCUUUGCUGUUACGAUCCAUUGAGGUUCCCACAAACCUUUUGUCU
rnacentral:ncRNA from 1 species